UCCUCUAUCAAAGCUCUUCUCUUUCUCUCUUUUCAUCAAGCCAACGCCUAAGUUCUCUCCAAGCUACUGUCCCCAUCUCUCUUUCUUUCUUCUUCAUAAGUCUAAGAGAGGUAUUAACCCUAGCAUGAUACCAUAUUCCUUUAUAGAUCCAUUCUCAAUAUCCCAAGAAGUUUAGGAGAGGUCCUAACCCUAGCAUGCAUUCCAUCAAAUC
rnacentral:lncRNA from 1 species